CCUACGGGUGGCAGCAGUGGGGAAUAUUGGACAAUGGGCGAAAGCCUGAUCCAGCCAUGCCGCGUGUGUGAAGAAGGCCUUCGGGUUGUAAAGCACUUUCAGUGGGGAAGAAAGCCUUGGGGCUAAUACCCUCGAGGAAGGACAUCACCCACAGAAGAAGCACCGGCUAACUCCGUGCCAGCAGCCGCGGUAAUACGGAGGGUGCGAGCGUUAAUCGGAAUUACUGGGCGUAAAGCGCGCGUAGGCGGUCUGAUAAGCCGGUUGUGAAAGCCCCGGGCUCAACCUGGGAACGGCAUCCGGAACUGUCAGGCUAGAGUGCAGGAGAGGAAGGGAGAAUUCCCGGUGUAGCGGUGAAAUGCGUAGAGAUCGGGAGGAAUACCAGUGGCGAAGGCGGCCUUCUGGACUGACACUGACGCUGAGGUGCGAAAGCGUGGGUAGCAAACAGGAUUAGAUACCCUAGUAGUC
rnacentral:rRNA from 1 species